rnacentral:sRNA from 1 species
UAAGUUCCAAUGCACUGUCCCUAAUACC